rnacentral:lncRNA from 1 species
GUCAGUUGACAAAGCGAAUGGCCUCAACCAUUUGAGGACAUGGUCCCGCUGUGCACAACGCUCCUGUUGAACCAGCCAAGAGCACCUUGAGAAUUGGAAGUCGAAAGGGAAUACAACCUACAUCUCCGACCUCUUGAACAGCACAUUUAUUCACCAGUCCCAUAAGAUCAGGGCUCUGAGUGAGCCCGGAAGCCCAAGGAAUAAAGAUGAAGACAAAUGCACCAUAAAGGGAAAGAAAAGAAAUACUAAAACUAGGUGGGCCCAACAGCCUUUAAGGCUCUGAUUUCCUUGUCUACAGGAAGCAGCGGCUUCCCAUCUCCCACAGAAGAAAGCUCUACAUGACUAACCCCCUGCUUCUGAUCUCCUUCUCUGUUACCACAUCCCCGGUGUAUUCAUACUGCCUCCCUGUGUCUCAAAGCUUCCCAGGGUGAUGCAACCAAGUCCAUUGCUCAGAGUUUUCUGUGGAGGCAACAGCUGUGUAGUGUGGCCAGAUCUACACUGCAGAGGAAAAUGCCACUUUCCAAUUUCACUGGGUCUGUGGACAGCCAUGGGACCUGCCAGUGUUCUGUUUCCCUGCCGGAUACCGCCUUUCCCGCUGACAGAGUGGAGCGCUUAGAGUACACAGCUCACAUCCUUUCUCAGAAAUUCGAGAGAGAGUUUUCUAAG